rnacentral:rRNA from 1 species
UACGUAGGGUGCAAGCGUUGUCCGGAAUUAUUGGGCGUAAAGAGCUCGUAGGCGGUUUGUCGCGUCUGCUGUGAAAACUGGAGGCUCAACCUCCAGCCUGCAGUGGGUACGGGCAGACUAGAGUGCGGUAGGGGAGAUUGGAAUUCCUGGUGUAGCGGUGAAAUGCGCAGAUAUCAGGAGGAACACCGGUGGCGAAGGCGGGUCUCUGGGCCGUAACUGGACGCUGAGGAGCGAAAGCAUGGGUAGCGAACAGG